AGAGUUUGAUCAUGGCUCAGAUUGAACGCUGGCGGAUGNNUUACACAUGCAAGUCGAACGGUAACAGGGAGCUUGCUCCGCUGACGAGUGGCGAACGGGUGAGUAAUAUAUCGGAACGUGCCCUGGAGUGGGGGAUAACUAGUCGAAAGAUUAGCUAAUACCGCAUACGAUCUAAGGAUGAAAGUGGGGGGAUCGCAAGACCUCAUGCUCGUGGAGCGGCCGAUAUCUGAUUAGCUAGUUGGUGGGGUAAAAGCCCACCAAGGCGACGAUCAGUAGCUGGUCUGAGAGGACGACCAACCACACUGGGACUGAGACACGGCCCAGACUCCUACGGGAGGCAGCAGUGGGGAAUUUUGGACAAUGGGCGCAAGCCUGAUCCAGCAAUGCCGCGUGAGUGAAGAAGGCCUUCGGGUUGUAAAGCUCUUUUGUCAGGGAAGAAACGGUGCGGGCUAAUAUCCUGUGCUAAUGACGGUACCUGAAGAAUAAGCACCGGCUAACUACGUGCCAGCAGCCGCGGUAAUACGUAGGGUGCGAGCGUUAAUCGGAAUUACUGGGCGUAAAGCGUGCGCAGGCGGUUAUGUAAGACAGAUGUGAAAUGCCCGGGCUUAACCUGGGAACUGCAUUUGUGACUGCAUGGCUAGAGUGUGUCAGAGGGGGGUAGAAUUCCACGUGUAGCAGUGAAAUGCGUAGAUAUGUGGAGGAAUACCGAUGGCGAAGGCAGCCCCCUGGGAUAACACUGACGCUCAUGCACGAAAGCGUGGGGAGCAAACAGGAUUAGAUACCCUAGUAGUCC
rnacentral:rRNA from 1 species